CUGUAGACACGUAGUUUGAUCAGUGGCUCGAGGACGAACGCUGGCGGCGUGCCUAACACAUGCAAGUCGAACGGAAGUUAGAGCUUCGGCUUUAACUUUAGUGGCGAACGGGUGAGUAACGCGUGAGGAACCUGCCUUUCAGUGGGGGACAACAGUUGGUAACGACUGCUAAUACCGCAUGACACUUUUGGGAGACAUCUCCUGGAAGUCAAAGCUUUAUGUGCUGAAAGAUGGCCUCGCGUCUGAUUAGCUAGUUGGUGAGGUAACGGCUCACCAAGGCGACGAUCAGUAGCCGGUCUGAGAGGAUGAACGGCCACAUUGGGACUGAGAUACGGCCCAGACUCCUACGGGAGGCAGCAGUGGGGAAUAUUGGGCAAUGGGGGAAACCCUGACCCAGCAACGCCGCGUGAAGGAAGAAGGCCUUCGGGUUGUAAACUUCUUUACCAGGGACGAAGGACGUGACGGUACCUGGAGAAAAAGCAACGGCUAACUACGUG
rnacentral:rRNA from 1 species